CAGAGUUCGUGCCCUCACGGGUAGAUCUCCCACCCUGUGUUAUUAUACCUUUGUUGCUUUGGCGGGCCGCCCUCGGCUACCGGCCCCGGCUGGUACGCGCCCGCCAGAGGACCCUAAACUCUUGUUUACAGUGUCGUCUGAGUACUAUACAAUAGUUA
rnacentral:misc_RNA from 1 species